CAAUGAUGCUGAUGAAAACACCCAUGAAGCCAGCAGCAGCGAAGAAAUUGUGAAGGGUACAGAAACCUGGCAUCGAGAGGACUGAUCACUGCAAUGUCUGCUAAUCGGCCAACAAGUAUUUGUGUUGUGGACCAACUUUAGUUCCGAGUUCUCUACCUGCCUCAAGAACAAUCAAUAUGGCAGCUGAGCUUUACGUGUGUUUUUGUUGAAAAUGUGGAACACUCUGCAUUGCCAUGCCCUAUGCCUGUGAGUUUGAAGUGAAAGACAGUAUAGUCAAGGAAAGUGUUUUGAUUUCAAUCUCCAGUCUUCUCAUUGUUGUUUAGCUAUUCAAUGACUAAAUUUUAUCUUAAAAUGAUGGCAAAUGUCCUGCCAUUGUGUGCGACACUAUUGUUUUGAAUUUUAUCUAUAUUUUAUUUUAUAUGAAAAAGGGUUGCACUUUGUGCAUGGUUUUGCCAAUUCAAUACUCAGGUGCAGCUUUCUAAUCAUGUAUGUGAAUGUUUUUCUCAAUUAUGUACAAAUUUUACUAGUCAUAAUAUUAUUUUGGAGACGAGUCUCUGCUCUGACAGGUUUCUGGCCAUUCUUACUGAAAAGCUUUCAAAAUAAUGUUGCUGAAAUCGAGGUCAGGGUUUACCAUUCUUCUGGCAGACUGGUAGACUCUGGGUUCAGGAACUUCAGUUUCACUUGCGGCAACAACUGUUAUUAUUUUACCCUUACCCUUCUUUUGGUCAGCGCUUAGGUAAAGUCUCCGUGACGAUACAUUCUGUGUGUGCCUGUCCAAUUCUCUCAUCGAUCUUAACUGGGUUAAAAGACUCAAUGCUUGUCACGGUUUAGGAUGGCUAUAUAAAUUAAAACGCAUCUAUUAGAUCUGAUGGAGACCUGAUGACUGAGUGUUUAGAUUUGAUUUCCAUCCGAAUGCGAUGAAACUGUCCAUGUUUAUUUUCUCUCUGUAUCUGCUUUAAAACCAGUGGAAGCUCAUAUUACCCUCUGAACAACAUGUCUGAGGCUCUUGAGAUCUCAUCAACAAUUACUUAUUGUAUUUUAAAUCUCAAGGUCUGUCAGAAUAGUUCGUGGGUGGGGGGCGGCUGGGGUUGGAAUAGCCAACUCCAGUCGCGGCAAGCCUCCCCGUGGCCCCCCUGGCCCGGGAGGAAAAUAGGUCGGACUGAUCCAUUUCAGCCUGCGUCGUUGGAUCUGCUUCCUUUGGUGGGAGGAGUUUAUUGUGUUCUUGCAGUUUUCUCCAAGAACUGGGCGUUUGGUUAUGAUGAUAGGGGAAACCACUCAUGUAGAAGAGCAUCAUGCCACCGUCAUCAUGGCAGUUGAUGUGGUGGUGAAGCUCUCUACGUACAUGUUUGUGUGCUGCUCUCUGAUCGAAUUCAGGACCGUGCAGUUGUCAGGAGAAAUUAGAAGUUCAACAACCAAAACAGGGCAGCAAACGUUAAUGAGCAGAUAAAAUGUUCACCAUCCUGGCCCAUUUGAUGAAGUGAGAAUUCCAACUUAAAAAACAUCUACAUUGUAUGAGCGUGAUGUUCACCACCUCAGGGCGUAGCAUGUGUAAUAUUUGAAAACUGAUCUACACAUUAAUGUGUGUCAAUCAAAGAGCUUUGCUUAUUCCUAUAAAGAAUGGAUAUUUUUAAAUUUUUGAAUGUUCUCUGACAUUGUAUUACCUGAGUGUGACUUGAAAGUUACUUUGUGCCUUUUACUUCUAAACAGAUAAUCUUUAAAAGCCAAAAUACCCUAGUGUUGUAUUGCACAGUCAUAAUUAGUUUGAUAAGCUGUUCCAGUAUUUUCUUCUAGUCUGUAUGUCAAACCUACAGAUCAGUGUCUUGUUGGUUUGCUUUGAUAAUCUAACGAUUUACUUGACAUCCAUUUGUGUAUUAUAUCUAUGGUAUAGCUAACUUUAGUAAUGAUUUUAAUGGUGAUUACUCUGCUUAUCCAAGUGUAUAAUAACAAGAUGACAGUUGUAACUCUAGGACAAAAGUUAGACAGUUAUAAUUGUAUAAGGGUUUAGUAGUUCAAACUUUUAGAACUCUUUGUUAUACAGAGGAGCAGUGCACACCAUCCUUGUAUGCAAAAUUUUACAGUAACUGUCAACUUGUCAUACACUUAGACAAAGCUCCGAAAGUUGAUUAGUUCUCCUGCAUAAAAUAUUUAUUUUACGAUAAAUGUCUUUGUCCGUUUCUCAAGUUUAAUCUAGUUUGAGGUAGCUUACAAUGUACCUUUUAUUGAGUGCUGCCAAUAGUUGAAGUCAUCUUUGAAAGUGAAAUGUAAAAUUAAUAGUGUU